rnacentral:rRNA from 1 species
GUCGGGGACAGUGCAUGGUAGGCAGUUUGACUGGGGCGGUCUCCUCCCAAAGCGUAACGGAGGAGUACGAAGGUACGCUAGGUACGGUCGGAAAUCGUGCUGAUAGUGCAAUGGCAUAAGCGUGCUUAACUGCGAGACCGACAAGUCGAGCAGGUGCGAAAGCAGGUCAUAGUGAUCCGGUGGUUCUGUAUGGAAGGGCCAUCGCUCAACGGAUAAAAGGUACUCUGGGGAUAACAGGCUGAUACCGCCCAAGAGUUCAUAUCGACGGCGGUGUUUGGCACCUCGAUGUCGGCUCAUCUCAUCCUGGGGCUGUAGCCGGUCCCAAGGGUAUGGCUGUUCGCCAUUUAAAGAGGUACGUGAGCUGGGUUUAAAACGUCGUGAGACAGUUUGGUCCCUAUCUGCCGUGGGCGUUGGAUAUUUGAAGGGGGCUGCUCCUAGUACGAGAGGACCGGAGUGGACGAACCUCUGGUGUACCGGUUGUGACGCCAGUCGCAUCGCCGGGUAGCUAUGUUCGGAAGAGAUAACCGCUGAAAGCAUCUAAGCGGGAAACUCGCCUUAAGAUGAGAUAUCCCUGGGGACUAGAUCCCCUUGAAGGGUCGUUCGAGACCAGGACGUUGAUAGGUCAGGUGUGUAAGCGCAGUAAUGCGUUCAGCUAACUGAUACUAAUUGCCCGUAAGGCUUGAUCCUAUAACA